GCCAGCAGCCAUAUUACUCCACAGCUCACUACUGGCAACCCACUGAAGCUCAGCAAGUGUGAGGCUGUCAGUACCUGGAUGGGAGACCUCCUGGGAAAGCUAAGGUUGCUGCUGGAA
rnacentral:rRNA from 1 species